GCCGCUUUAGCUCAGUGGUAGAGCAACUGUUUUGUAAACAGUCGGUCGUCGGUUCGAUCCCGACAAGCGGCU
rnacentral:tRNA from 1 species